rnacentral:rRNA from 1 species
AACGAACGCUGGCGGCAUGCCUAACACAUGCAAGUCGAACGAGACCUUCGGGUCUAGUGGCGCACGGGUGCGUAACGCGUGGGAACCUGCCCUUAGGUUCGGAAUAACUCCCCGAAAGGUGUGCUAAUACCGGUUAAUGUCUUCGGACCAAAGAGUUAUCGCCUUUGGAUGGGCCCGCGUUGGUUUAGCCGGUUGGUAGGGUAAAAGCCUACCAAGGCGACGAUCCAUAGCUGGUCUGAGAGGAUGAUCAGCCACACUGGGCCUGAGACACGGCCCAGACUCCUACGGGAGGCAGCAGUGGGGAAUAUUGGACAAUGGGCGAAAGCCUGAUCCAGCAAUGCCGCGUGAGUGAUGAAGGCCUUAGGGUUGUAAAGCUCUUUUACCCGGGAUGAUAAUGACAGUACCGGGAGAAUAAGCUCCGGCUAACUCCGUG